GGUGCCUAUAUCGACGGUGUCCACCUCUUCCCAUUCCGAACAGAGAAGUUAAGCCCGCCAGAGCCGAUGGUAUUGCCGUAACAGGUGGGAGAGUAGGUCGGUGCCU
rnacentral:rRNA from 1 species